CGGUAUCAAAACUGGACGACUGGCCGGACUGACAUUGUUUCAAACUUUCCAGGAUUUUAAAGUAGUUUAACGGUUACGAGGCCCCUUCAUGGGGAUAUGAUACUGUUGUCAUUCGCUGUCACGGCAAUGUAUGCCUUACUCGGCGUGCCUCCCCCAGUCCCAUUUUUACCAGUAAGACAAUCAGAGACAGACUCUCUACAAGGUACAAGCGACAGUAACAUCAAUUCGCCCUGUGAUUCGAACCAAGAAAGACAAGGGAAAAAACAGACUAAAUCGAGGCUGUCAAUCACGAAAAAAGAUCAAUUAUCUACUGCUAGGAAAGGUUCCCGAGAAUCACAUCCGAGCCCUAAAUCGACGACAAUGAGCUCGAAAGGAUGGAAUCCGAUUGGAAAGGGAAAGGGUAUCAAGGGUUCAUUGGAUUCACCGCAAUCAAGCCCACAAAUGCGCGCGAAUAGAUUCCGUCGUCAGGGGGAUGCUUUAGAUCAUGGCGACCAAGCAAAGAAAACCGAAGAAACUCCAAGAAAGAGCA